UGAGGAUGUGGCUUAGUGGUAGAAUGCUUGCCUAGCAUGCAUGAAGCCCUGAGUUCAAUCUCCAGCACCACAA
rnacentral:tRNA from 1 species